GGUGGUGGUGGCCGGCGGCGUGGUGGUGGUGGUGGUGGUAGUGCGGGCCCGCGCCGCUCUGCGCGGCGGCCGCGGCGAUCACGGCGGACACCACGGCGGCGGCGGGGCCCAUCUCCUCGCCGCUGCCGCCCAAGGAGGCGCCGGCACCGGCCCCGGCCGCCGCGGCCAGCUGCUGCGCCCCGCGCGCGUAGCCAUCGAAGCCGCCCUGGAGCUGGUGGCUGUUGCUGAUGAGCGCCUCGACCGCGUCCUCGGGGCUGAAGCCCAGCGCCUCGGGGUUCAGCUGCUGCGGGUAGCCGGUCAUCCAGUAGUAGUCUUCCAGGUUUCUUCCUUGGAAAACAAUAUACAUCACUUAAUGAAAUCUUUGUUUG
rnacentral:lncRNA from 1 species